rnacentral:rRNA from 1 species
UACGAAGGGGGCUAGCGUUGCUCGGAAUCACUGGGCGUAAAGCGCACGUAGGCGGCUUUCUAAGUCAGGGGUGAAAUCCUGGAGCUCAACUCCAGAACUGCCUUUGAUACUGGAGAGCUUGAGUCCGGAAGAGGUGAGUGGAACUCCGAGUGUAGAGGUGAAAUUCGUAGAUAUUCGGAAGAACACCAGUGGCGAAGGCGGCUCACUGGCCCGAUACUGACGCUGAGGCACGAAAGCGCGGGGAGCAAACAGG